AUUGAACGCUGGCGGCAGGCCUAACACAUGCAAGUCGAGCGGAGCGGCGGACGGGUGAGUAAUGCCUAGGAAUCUGCCUGGUCGUGGGGGAUAACGUCAGGAAACGGGCGCUAAUACCGCAUAAUAUCAGAUGAGCCUAGGGUGGAUUAGCUAGUUGGUGGGGUAAAGGCCUACCAAGGCGACGGUCCGUAACUGGUCUGAGAGGAUGAUCAGUCACACUGGAACUGAGACACGGUCCAGAGUCCUACGGGAGGACGCAGUGGGGAAUAUUGGACAAUGGGCGAAAGCCUGAUCCAGCCAUGGCGCGUGUGUGAAGGAGGUCUUCGGAUUGUAAAGCACUUUAAGUUGGGAGGCGGUACCAACAGAAUAAGGACCGGCUAACUUCGUGCCAGCAGCCGCGGUAAUUC
rnacentral:rRNA from 1 species